rnacentral:sRNA from 1 species
CAACGGCGCCUCAAAACGCCGGUGCCUGACAGAGGCUCGUCCCCCGCCUCUUCAGACAGUAAGGACAAGGGCUCCAUCCCCCCUCUCCGGCCCUUGUCCCAAAAAGCAGCCGCCAUGGUCCGCCCCCCUCCAGGCCAUGGCGGCUUUUU